AAAUGAAUUGACGGGGACCCGCACAAGCGGUGGAACAUGUGGCUUAAUUCGAUGCAACGCGAAAAACCUUACCUGGGUUUGGUAUAGAUUGGACCGGGGGUGAAAGCUCCCUUUUCGCAAGAACCGAUCUACAGGUGCUGCAUGGCUGUCGUCAGCUCGUGUCGUGAGAUGUUCUGUUAAGUCAGGUAACGAGCGCAACCCUCGUCUUUAGUUGCCAGCGGGUAAUGCCGGGGACUCUAAAGAGACAAACCUCCUAUGGAGGUGGGAAGGUGGGGAUGAUGUCAAGUCAGCAUGGCCCUUACAUCCAGGGCUGCACACGUGUUACAAUGCCUAGUACAGUGGGAUGCAAUACCGCGAGGUGGAGCUAAUCCAUAAAGCUAGGCCCAGUUCAGAUUGAAGUCUGCAACUCGACUUCAUGAAGCCGGAAUCGCUAGUAAUGGCACAUCAGAAGUGGUGCCGUGAAUACGUUCUCGGGUCUUGUACACACCGCCCGU
rnacentral:rRNA from 1 species